AGAGUUUGAUCCUGGCUCAGAUUGAACGCUGGCGGCAGGCUUAACACAUGCAAGUCGAGCGGAAACGAUGGGAGCUUGCUCCCAGGCGUCGAGCGGCGGACGGGUGAGUAACGCGUAGGAAUCUACCCAGUAGAGGGGGAUAGCCCGGGGAAACCCGGAUUAAUACCGCAUACGCCCUAAGGGGGAAAGGCCGGGAUCUUCGGACCGGUCACUAUUGGAUGAGCCUGCGUAAGAUUAGCUAGUUGGUAGGGUAAUGGCCUACCAAGGCGACGAUCUUUAGCUGGUCUGAGAGGAUGAUCAGCCACACUGGGACUGAGACACGGCCCAGACUCCUACGGGAGGCAGCAGUGGGGAAUAUUGGACAAUGGGGGCAACCCUGAUCCAGCCAUGCCGCGUGUGUGAAGAAGGCUCUAGGGUUGUAAAGCACUUUCAGUAGUGAGAAAGGUCGAAAGGUUAAUAGCCUUUUGAAUUAUGUUAACUACAGAAGCAGCACCGCUAACU
rnacentral:rRNA from 1 species